AGUGAACGCUGGCGGUAGGCCUAACACAUGCAAGUCGAACGGCAGCACAGUAAGAGCUUGCUCUUACGGGUGGCGAGUGGCGGACGGGUGAGGAAUACAUCGGAAUCUACUUUUUCGUGGGGGAUAACGUAGGGAAACUUACGCUAAUACCGCAUACGACCUACGGGUGAAAGCAGGGGAUCUUCGGACCUUGCGCGAUUGAAUGAGCCGAUGUCGGAUUAGCUAGUUGGCGGGGUAAAGGCCCACCAAGGCGACGAUCCGUAGCUGGUCUGAGAGGAUGAUCAGCCACACUGGAACUGAGACACGGUCCAGACUCCUACGGGAGGCAGCAGUGGGGAAUAUUGGACAAUGGGCGCAAGCCUGAUCCAGCCAUACCGCGUGGGUGAAGAAGGCCUUCGGGUUGUAAAGCCCUUUUGUCGGGAAAGAAAAGCAGCAGGUUAAUACCCCGCUGUUCUGACGGUACCCAAAGAAUAAGCACCGGCUAACUUCGCG
rnacentral:rRNA from 1 species